rnacentral:rRNA from 16 species
GCUAACGCAUUAAGUGCCCCGCCUGGGGAGUACGGCCGCAAGGCUAAAACUCAAAGGAAUUGACGGGGGCCCGCACAAGCGGCGGAGCAUGUGGAUUAAUUCGAUGCAACGCGAAGAACCUUACCAAGGCUUGACAUGGGCUGGAUUGCUUCGGAGACGGGGUUUCCCUUUUUUGGGCUGGUUCACAGGUGGUGCAUGGUUGUCGUCAGCUCGUGUCGUGAGAUGUUGGGUUAAGUCCCGCAACGAGCGCAACCCUUGUCUUAUGUUGCCAGCAUUUGGUUGGGGACUCAUGAGAGACUGCCGGGGUUAACUCGGAGGAAGGUGGGGAUGACGUCAAAUCAUCAUGCCCCUUAUGUCCAGGGCUUCACACAUGCUACAAUGGUCGGUACAACGCGCAGCGACACUGUGAGGUGGAGCGAAUCGCUGAAAGCCGGCCUUAGUUCGGAUUGGGGUCUGCAAC